rnacentral:lncRNA from 1 species
ACCUGGGACACGGAGGUUGCAGUGAGACGAGAUUGCCCCAUCGCACUCCAGCCUGCAACAGAGCGAGACUCCUUAACAAGGGAGGCUAUUCUGACACCUGCUACCAUGUGGAAGAAGCUUGACAAUAUUGACCAAUCAGCCAGACACAGAAAGACAAGUCCUGUGUGAUUCCACUUCGAGGAGGUCCCUCGAGUCACCAGAGUCACAGAGACAGAAAGUAUAACGCAGCAGCGUACACUGCCCAGCCCGGGCUUCGUUUCCACUUUCUGUGACCUGGUGUGGCGGUGAGUCUUACUCAGCGUGCUUGAGCCGAAAUGUCACCAGCUGCCCGCCGACCUGGGAUGACACCUUGGGCCGUUCUGUUUUCUCCCGUUCACCGGUCAAGACGCUGAAACUCGGGAGCUUUUGGCGGCCGAGCUGCGUGAAGGGACUUCAAGAGACGAGGAGACGGACCCCGUGGAAACCUCUCCCACCUGGCGAUUGUAGGGGAAGGAGCUUCUAUUCUUGACCCAGCCCACGACACGUGCCGGGGCUGUCAGCGCCGUGAGAGGCACCUGUGUCUCCCCGAGCUGAGGACGGAUGACAUUUGUACCUACAGGGGUAAAAAAAGAUAAAGCAAACACGGAACAGCACACUCCUCCCGGCCUUCCUUCUUCUGACACCGUUUUCCUUUAGAAGAUCUGAAACUACAAGUCAGGACAUGACACGUGGAGCGUCCCAGGCACGCGCAGCCUCUGCUGUUUGAUUUCCGACGUGAGUCUAUAGCAAGAAGGUUGCCGUCUGCAAGCCAGGAAGGGAGUCCUCACCAGGAGCUGAGAUGUUGCUACUUUGAUCUUGGACCUCCAGUCUUCAUAUAGAGUUUCACCCUUGUCGCUCAGGCUGGCGUGCA